UCCCAGACUCCUACGGGAGGCAGCAGUGGGGGAUAUUGCACAAUGGGGGAAACCCCGAUGCAGCGACGCCGCGUGGGCGAAGAAGUAUUUCGGUAUGUAAAGCCCUAUCAGCAGGGAAGAAGAAAUGACGGUACCUGAGUAAGAAGCACCAGCUAAAUACGUGCCAGCAGCCGCGGUAAUACGUAGGGGGCGAGCGUUAUCCGGAUUCACUGGGUGUAAAGGGAGCGUAGACGGCCAUGCAAGCCAGGGGUGAAAGCCCGGGGCCCAACCCCGGGACUGCCCUUGGAACUGCAUGGCUGGAGUGCGGGAGGGGCAGGCGGAAUUCCUGGUGUAGCGGUGAAAUGCGUAGAUAUCAGGAGGAACAGCGGCGGCGAAGGCGGCCUGCUGGACCGCGACUGACGUUGAGGCUCGAAAGCGUGGGGAGCGAACAGGAUUAGAUACCCCGGUAC
rnacentral:rRNA from 1 species